rnacentral:lncRNA from 1 species
AUUUACAGGAAAUGAUUAAUUAAAGGAAUUCUUUUCAUUGCCAUUAAUUGUUUUGCAGACAACCCGACGAGAUAAUCAUCACAUGCUGGCAAUCACUUGCCAUCAAUUAUCCCCACGCUGCUGCUGUCAGUGGAUCACAGCCCCUACCUGGUGGGAGUCACUGCUGGUGCCACCGAGGCAUUUGCCAGUAAUGUAGGACUGGGGAGGAUGGGAAACAGCUUCCAGACAGGCUCUGAGAUUGAUAUGCAAGCCAAAGGGAAAUGCAUUAAACUAUUUAACUGCCUGGAAAUCCAGCCUAAUGAACAUCCAAAGCAUCACCUUCCAGAGGCUGAUUCCUGCUGUGUUUGAAGCACAAAUGGUGAUAUUUGGGAUCAUCUUCCAGCCUCUCCCGAUAGCAGGGAGCUAUUUCCAGGCAGCAGCAGGAUCCCACCCAUUCCUGGGAGCUUUUCAGGACACCCCAGUGAUAAAACUUUGUUUUUUGGGACUUAUGACCACAUAACCCCCCCACAGCAACACCUGAUCUGGAGACUCUGGGGAAAACAAAAAGAGGUGUAAAACAAAGCCACCUUCUUUCCCGGCCUGCAUCCGUGGGAUGAGGCAAAAGAAGGAUCUAUUCCAUCCCUCUGGAUGAACAGAGCUCUGCUCCUCCUGCCAGCACAUAUCGGCUGUUAAAUGCUUACCCAGCAGCGGGAGGAGGGUUAUUAGGAGCAGUGAAUUCCUUUGAUAAGUUCUCAGGUCAUAAAGAUGUUUGACUCCUCAUUUGCACGUUCCUCUUGGAAUCGAUCAAAGCGGAAAAGCUGGAGGGUAAAAAUCGAUAAGGGAGAGCGGGUGUGUGGGAAGAUGUAUGGAUAGAGCUGGGCAGGGGCAGGGCAAUCAGUUAUUGCGCUAAUUGAUGGCGGGAUGAUAACUCAGAAUUGAUCAGGGGCUGCCUGAGCUGAUACAACUCAGUGGCUCCAGAAUCCUGCUCUGGAGAUCUCACAGAGGGAUGCUCAGAUCAGCUGUUCCCAACCCGCUCAGCUGCAGGGGUAAAGUAAAAUGAGCCUGGUUCUGGGUUAGAUCCCUCAAAAAGGAGGACUCUGCUAAUCAGUGCUCGCAUAUUCCAGCAGAUUUCCACUGCCCACUCCAUGCUGGCUUGGAUCCUGGGGCUGUUGCUGUAUCCAGGUAUCCCCCACUUUCUCCACUGAGGGUUUAGAGCAACCUCUGCCUCCCACCAGAGCACCACAGGACAUCAAGGAUAGAAAAUUCUCCCUCCUGACACCUUUGUGGGCUGGAAUUGGCUCUGUCCAAAGGAGAGAGGAGACUGAGGCACGGGCACAGUGAAGUACCCGAGUCUCAUCCAGAGGAUGGAGAAGAGCUGGUUGCUUCUGAACCUUGCAAGAGGAGGUCAGAGAUCAGGAGACCAGCUGUGCACCAAAGCUGUUCCCAUUUUCUGCAGAGUGUUCACAACUGCUGUGGGAUGAGGCAGGAAUCCUCCUGCCCCAGGCUGCUCUGGAAGGCAC